ensembl:lncRNA uncharacterized LOC107592861
GCCUACUGGAUGCUGAAAGCUCUCUUGAAGAUUGUUCGGAGCAGUUCGUCUUCCAUCAGACCAAUCGAGAAAAGUGCGUCCACAGCUUGUUAUCAGGAUUUCCAUCUGUUGCUGAUCUUGCAUCUUCUACGCUUUGGCAGUGAAGAGCUGCAGACACCUGCAGACACGCAUCAGUGUAAGAGAUCGGCAGAUUUGGGUUGGCGUGACAUCGCUUUGACGUCAUGAGUGUACCAGAUAAUUCUCUUUAUUUUGCCUUUGCCUUUGUUCCACAGGCACAUUCUGCUACAUAAUAAACAGUCGACUGUUUGUGGCUCCGCUGGAUGCACAGACCGCCUGUCCAGUGUGCAAGAUGCCCAAAUCUGAACACCAUUAUACUGAAUGAGAGCCUGCUUUAAUCAGGGUCAGUAUUCCUCGCUCAACUCUGCUGCCAGCGUACAAAUACAAAGCCCAUCGCCGCUGCAGUUUUGAUCCCUCUGACAGCCUGGGUUUGCCCUCAGUGAGUUUCAAAUAGUCAAAUCAGCACUAACACUGAUUUCUCGAGUGAAAUAUAUCGAGCAGACCAAUUAUUUUGGUGAUAUUUUACUUUUAAGAUUAUCGCAUUGACUAAUAAUGUGUGCGACAGCACCUUUAACUUGUAGUUUUCUUGAUAAAUGUUAUUCUCAAAACCUUAAACAUGCAAAUAUUAAUUUUGCAGAACUGUUUGUCUGGAUGGUCCAAUCCCACCCUGAACUCUGGCUCUCAGAUGAGCAGUCUGGAUCUGCGGGGCUCCAUGGCAAAACCAGCGGCUAUGGGAGGGUCAGCCUCAUCCUGGUUUGACCAUGAACUGAUUUUUACAAUUCUACACGUCAAGGUUAUUGGUUAUAACGGAUGUUACAAGACAUCCAAACAGGGAAUCUCGAGAUGUCAACGCUGUACUCAAGAGUGUUCUGAGAAUAGAAAUGAGAUGGAAGUUACUCCAUGCACUCAGGACAACAAUAGAUCAUGCUUCUGUAAACCAGGUUUUUACUGUACAAAAGGAAACGAUUAUGUCACACACUGCCAUAAACCAUGUGUUCCCUGUGGGAAGGGUACAUUCUCCAGCACACCCUCUCUGGGAGCCUGCAAGCCUCAUAAAAAUUGUGGUAAGUUGGGGAUGAUGACACACCAAGAGGGCACAACGAAACAGGACAGACAGUGUGUGAAUGUCACCACAGUGAUGCCAUCCUUGUCCACUACCACAAAUAUCAUUACUACAUUCCCUAUCACUAACACUUCCAUCCCCUGGACAGGGGUCACUGCACCACUCAUAGACACGUCCGAGGAAAGCCAGUCCCAUUGGCUGCUGCUAUUAAUCUUAAUGUUGAUAAUCUUGUUCAUGGCUGGAUUCUGUAUGCUGAUGAAAAACGGGGCAAAGAAAACCUUUUUAAAAUGGCAUGGUUUAAUAAACAGAGGACAUGAAGAUCAUCAACUCUUGAGUCAAACUGCAGGUGAUCAUCAAAUUUCGUCCAAUUCCCAAUCCCACACCUUGGAGAUAGAGAUACCUCUCGGCAGUGAUGACAGAGAGGUCAAAGGUCAGAGUACGGGGCUGACGCCCCAAUCUGGGGCUGUGCAGCAGGUCACAAUGGAGCACAAUGGGAAGGGUGAGAACGUCAGCAAUACUGUUGGGUCCAUCUACAUCUACUCUCCUGGAAUGGUGAUUUUGGGCUCCAACUCGGGUGAUAAAAAGGAAGAGGCAGGAGUUUGCGAAGAAGGCGUUCCCCUCAUCAGCAGACCACAGCAAGAGUCAAAUCCACCCUCGCAAGAGAUCAGAAUAAAAAUAAGUGCACAGGAAGAGGCCGAGGAGGAACUGAACUUGAGUUUUCCUGUGCCGGCAACUGGAAAGUGAGAACUCGAAUGUGGUUUCUUGCAUCUUUCAUGAUGGCCUUUAGGAAGAUUCCAGGUUUGAAUCACAAGGCUGAAAAUCACAAGUGGCCAGAUAUAAGAUUCCUGGUAAAGCAUAACAUCAGCAAUGGCCAAGUCAUGGUUUCAGUUCCAGAGAAACAUGUACGCUGGCAAAAUGUACAGGCUACCUUGAUUGCACUGUAUGUCGAAUACGGAAUGCGCAGAUGUACAAGAUGGAAAACGCUGAGUAAUAACUUUUGCUUUCUUGCACAUCAAGGAAAAGAUUUAUGCUUAAUUUAAGUUGGUCAGUUUUUUGAAAUGCACUUGUCUGAAUUGCUGCUGCAGCGAAAAUGAGAAAAACACAUGCAUGAAGACUGUGUACAGGAGGUACAGACGAAAGGGUGAGAAAAAUGCCCUCAAAGGUGUUAUGAGUUUUCAAAAUGAAUAUCCUAUAAGACAGAGGCAGCAUAACUGAAAUGCACAUGAUGUGUAUGAAUUGUUUUAUUGUUUAAGCGAGUAGUUGAGAACCUAACAUCUGCGUCUGUAUGUUUCUAAUCAGACUUUUGUUCUACUAUGUGGGUGUUUCAUAUGCAUGUCUAAAAAUACCCAACCUCACCUUCGGAAAGAAGGUGUCUGAUUUGACUGUUGUAGGAGGUCUGGUCGGGACAGACUGUGUUUACAGCACAUGUUCAGAAUGACAUUUCUUCAUUCAUCUCACUUUUUUUUUUUGCUUUGUUUGC